rnacentral:rRNA from 1 species
GUGCCAGCAGCCGCGGUAAGACGUAGGGGGCCAGCGUUGUUCGGAAUUACUGGGUGUAAAGUGUUCGUAGGCGGUGCGGCAAGUCGGGAGUGAAAUCUCUGGGCUCAACCCAGAGGCUGCUUCCGAAACUGCCGUGCUGGAGUGUGGGAGAGGUGCGUGGAAUUGCAGGUGUAGCGGUGAAAUGCGUAGAUAUCUGCAGGAACACCCGUGGCGAAAGCGGCGAGCUGGACCACUACUGACGCUGAAGAACGAAAGCUAGGGGAGCAAACAGGAUUAGAUACCCUGGUAGUCC